AGAUUCCUAUGGAGUUUUAAGUAUAAUAAGGGUAAAGUUAUAUAGUGUGCUCUCACCAUUCACUAUUUUGUAUACUGUUUUAUUUGGUUUUUUGUGCUAAGUGACUCACAUUGGUGAUUGGAGCACCUAAGUUCUGGACUAUUUUAACCUUAAUUCUUUUAUAUUCUACUGAAAAGUUGGGUAGCCUAUGGGGCCCCUAUGCUUGUGGGCCCCCGGCUACUGCCCAUGCGUUAAGACAGCUGUGGGUGGUUUUAAUAUACAGAUGCUAUCCCUCUGACAUUGUAAAACAUGUUUGCAAUUGUCUGAAAACAUACAUCCAGUGGCUAUCAGACAGAAAAGGUUAGGUUCCAUAGUGUGUUCAAUUUAGAAUUUAUUAUCUCCUGCUGUGUUAAUAGCCUUCUACACCUUGCAGGAACCUCCAGUGUGUUGUUAAAGUUCAAUUUACAGGACAGGAAAUAAAAACUUCUAAAGCAAGUUAACAUAUGAAAAUGAAAGCAAUUUUUUUUUUCCAGGAAAACUGUGUGCAUCACAGCCAGGGAUGUGUGGCUAGUGAUUUAACUCUUAAAUGGCAGAGACAUGAGCAUGAAACAUGCAGUGGCAUGAUCUAUACACCCAAACUACUUCACUAAGCUAUAUAUGUUUUGAUACCUAGAGCAUCCCUUUAAGACAUUUCAUUUUCAAGGUUCUUCAUGUUCAGUGUUAUCACACACAACAUGAUGAGGCUGAAAACCACUGAUAUUUCUCAGAGUAUCACUGGACACAAAGCUUCUCUAAGAGAAGUAUUGGAUCGGUGCAGCAUGGCAAUUGCUGCACAUGAUCCUAUUCCUUAUACGAUUUAAUGGAUUAGACAAAAGUUAUCAGAAACAAUAAUUUGAAAAAAUGAGAAGCAUACAUUUUAGCAACUUUAAUUAUAAAAUAAACUUUGACUUUUUAUGUGUAUAUUUACAAAUAUAUUAAAUGUAAACCUUAGAGAUUGUUACAUAUAUUUAUGUUUCUGUAUGCCUUAUUAAACAGAUUACUGUAAUUACCACCUGUAGCUGGCGGCUGUGGCUGCACUCUUGGGUUGCUCUUUCUCAGGAGAACUUGAUCUAAUAUGUUGGAAAUGUGUCAUGCCAAGUACUUUCUUACAAUAUCUCUUCAUUAUAGUAUUUGUAGUAUUCAUUGUAAUGGUCUACAUACAUUUUUUGAAGUUGAGAACAGAUUUAUGCAAUUUGGUCUGUGCUGUGCCAUUAAUUAAUUUGCUAGGUGAGAGUCUAUAUAGCUCAGGAAAAGGCAAAUAAAAACAAAGGGUAGAAGGCAACAGACAGAGGGGAUGAAUUAGUAGGGGUAUAGUAUCCAUCAUCUAGUCAUGAUGCUGUAUUUCACACUGCUGACCAAUUUAAUUAAUUCAGGCAAUUAAUUCCAUUAGCAAUCUUGCUUAAUGAUCCAUGGAAUUGUAACAUAGACAAGCAUUAACAAACAGACAUGUGUAUUUUGUUCUGUUUAUUGCUAAGGCCAAAUCUGCUAAGUGAGCAUGCACAGGGCAAACAAAAAAAUGAGAAGGUAGUAAGUUAAUAAUUAUAUGUUUAAAUAUAUUUUAUGUGAUAUUAGAAAAUGUUCUUGUGUAGAAAUGCUGUUCUGCGGUUGAAGGAACCACAAUAAAUGUACAUGAUAUAAAAGCACAUCUGGUUCGGUGACAUGUUGUCACACAAUGGACCUGCGGAACCCACACUCCCAAGCUAGCAUCAUAUAUCCAAAACCUAUGUGAUCAUAUGGAUUUUAUGAUCUUAACCUAAAAUAUUUAAAGAGUUCUAAAUGGCAUAUCAAUGCUUAUAAGACACUGCAAUCAACAAGAAUGCAGGUGUGUUUAGGUCACUGUCAGAUGUAACCAGAUGUAUUAGAUGAAUCCUUGAUACUUACAGUAUGUGUUUGGACUUUACUACGUACAUAGGUCAUAUUGCGUUAACUUGAGUGAGGGAAAUAGAACCUGCGAUCCCAUCAUUUGAAUGGGCACUACAGAGCUUUUCUCAGGUUAGUUUGGUAAUUCAAACCAAUGGGUGGUUUAUCAAAAUAUACCAAAUCACCACCUGGUUAAAUAAAGGAUUUGCAAUGUGCUUGCAUUUACCAGUGCCCAAAGUGGUUUGUCAAAAAAAAAAAAUUGCUGCUAGAUGCUUGUGUGUUGUGUAGCUGAGAAAUAUCAGUGUGCACAUUCCUUUUGUAGACAGAAAGUGACACCUAUCAACAAAGUAUAUGUGUACAUAUGUAAACAUAGGUGUAUUUGUGUAACACAUAAGCUAAUUCCCUGAUAUUCAACACUAUUAAAAAUGUUCAUUAAUAUGUAUAAAUAAGUGUGGCAAUGUCACCUCUUAUCCUCUGGAUGCAAUCAUUAGCACAGAGUCUGCAAUGGACCACUGGGUUGAAAUGAGAAAAAAAAUCAUGAACCAUAAAAUUCAAGACGCCUCAUCAGAACUAAUGCCACUGACUUUGCAAUAUGUCAUCUUCUGCAACUGUCACUAGUCUAAUACUAUCCUUACCUUUUGUUUCAUUUUACCCCACUCCUUCUAGCAUGUAAGCUCAUUGAGCAGGGCCCUCAACCCCUCUGUUCCUGUGUGUCCAACUUGUCUGGUUACAACUACAUGUCUGUUCGUCCACCCAUUGUAAAGCGCUGCGGAAUUUGAUGGCGCUAUAUAAAUAUCAUAAUAAUAAUAAUAAUAAUGUACAAAAAUUGUCUGUAUGAGACAAAAUAGCUGUAAAGCUGUAAUGCAUAUGGAAGACAUAAAAUAAGUAGAGCGAACAUAGGCCUUUUAAGGAGGACUCGAGAACCUCCAGCAAUCAGAAUGAGGUGACAAGUGACUAGAACUGACGAAAACAUGUACAACCUCAUACACAUAAAAUUGUUGAAAAUGCCAUCCUGGUCAAAACUCAUUGAAUUCCUGUAGAGAGCUUCAAUAAUCUUAGAACCUAAGGAGCAGGAUGGCAGAAGAAAAUCUAUUGGAACAUUAGAGCGUGACCUGGUAAAAGGCCUGCUUCCUACAUAGAUCACAGUUACAGUGACAACAAGCACAACUGUUGGAAUAGACCAUGUGAUCUCUACCAGAAAUUCAGGCAACUUAUUUAAGUAACCUUUUACAUAUAUGUAUUGCCUGUGAAAAUGUAAUCCUCUUCAAGAACAUUUCUCAUUUUCUGCAAACAAAUUAAACAUUAGAGCGAUCCAAACUAACCAAAAACAUUUCUAAAAAAGUGUUUUCUACUUUUAUAGUAGCAAAAGCUAACAAAUGUUUAUAAUAGCAAAGGCAAAAGUUGCCCCCCGCCCCCAAAUAGACCAUAUCUGCUGAAAGCAGUUAAUGUAUUUUCUCAGAAACCGUAUCUCCCUAAAUCUACAGUGAUAUUUCAGUCAUUUACUGAUAAAAGGAGACCUAGAGAAAAAAAUAGCACAUCUAUUAAAAAGUAGUGCAACAAAAGGUGACUAAACCAUGCCUCAUCAGCAUAUUUUAAAGAAAAUACUACCUUUAAUUUCACAGCACUAUGGUAUUUGUGUCCAUGAUGGAAGUGGGAAGUAGAGAGAAGAUUUGUCGGUCCAAAAUUGCAGUAUUUAAAACUGUGAUAUAAACAGAUAGCAAUUCUCCACUCGUUUCUGCACUUUUAGAAACAUGUGGAUCCUAUAUGUUUAGUUAGAUCUGGUUACAUCUAUACUUGUGUAUUGGAAUCCAGAUAUUAGGCAGUUCAUCCUUUUGGAAUUAAAGGAUCUUCUUUUGCUAUACAUAGACAACGGAUGCACAGAAAGAUUUAGAAAUACGCUGCUUGGCUGGAUAAUUUUAUGAUGUAAGAUGAUUUGUCAUAUCUCACCAAUGACUAGCCAGAAAUUAGACCAUUUUAUUUUCUUUUGAAUUUUUUUUGUUUCCAUAACUGAUGCAUUGCUUCAGUUAUACUUGGUAAAUGGCCUCUCUUGUACUGAAAACAGUGUUCAUUUAAUAGGUGCCCAAAUAUUAAUGCUGCACCAUUGUUUAUUUGAUUUAAUUAGAUUUAGUGUGAUUUUUGUUUAUUUUUUCUUGUGUUCUACAUAAUAAUACAUAGU